UGAAAACAGGGGUUCUGAAGUGAUGAUCCCGCAAUAUGUCGUUUACAAGAUUGAAAUGUGGCAGUGUGUUCAGCAUUAUUAUAUGUUCCAGUCCUACUUUGACAUUGGAAUAACGCAGGAGCGUUCAGGGAAUAUUUUAUAAGUCUUUUAAGAGUUCCAUCCAGCAAUCUUCCAACAGCCUGGCUUGUAUACGAUUGCAGGUCUUCAGUGACACCUGGGUGGAGGGAUGAUCCCAGUGUACGGCAGGCGGGUUGGACGGCUGUCUAGGUGGGGCGUCCUGCUCCAGACAGUGGGGUCAGUAUGUGCUACUCUUCUGAAAGGGGAACUCGCAAGAAUUUUAUUGCAUUAUAAAACAUUUGGGAAAAAAAAAAGUUUCAUUGUUCAAUUUUCUGUGGUUACUGGCUGAUGUGGUGCAAUGCGGGCAUUUGAUUCCCAGUGAGCAUUUCAAAAACAUUCGACAGGACAAAGAAUCUAGUGAGAGUCGGGGGUAUGAGCAAAGACAAAAAUAUGUGGUGGACGUGAA